CAUUUCCCCCACUUCGACCUAAAUUUUCCCUCAGUUUUUUUGCCCCUUUUCAUUUUUAGCGCCUUUUCAUUUCUCCCCCACACACACACACUCUCUCUCUUUCUCAGACACUUCGAGAAUCUCCUCACUGUCUCGUGUCUACCAGUACCCACAACCACAGCCAUCACCACCCACCACCACCACCACCACCCAACCCACAACCACCAAAUCACAAACAAAAACAAACCUCUGUAAACCCAACCCAGCAAACUCAGUCACCACCAUCCACCAUCACCCACCCACCUGCCACCACCAUAAACCCCAACCCAAAAUCAACCCACCACUAGCCACCACCACUAGAAAACAACGACCAAAUCACAAAACCCAACCAUCACAAAUCACAAAUCACAAAACAACCACCAUCACAAAGACAAAAUCUAGCCAUCACAAAAUUUCACCCACCACCAAAUCCGAUCCACCACCAAACUGUGACCCACGACCCAGACCCACCAUGACCAAGUGACCCACAGUGACCGCCGAAGCACUGUGACUCGCACCCAUGGGAAAUCGGUGAGAGGGAGAGAGAAAACGAGCAAGAGAGGGCCACAAACAACCCCACAAACGCUUCUCUCUCAGCUCCGCUAGGGUUAUAGAGAGAAAAAGUUUGUUCAGCCUCAGACCAAUUUCUUCACAAUCCCAAAAAUACCUUCUUCAAUGAAACUGGGUUCCAUUAACCAGAGACUAUAGCUAUUGAAGAUGCUGUCAGAGUUCUAUUGCAUGGUUUAGGGGAGGAUAUUAAUAGAGAAGGUCUCAAGAAGACUCCUUUUCGUGUUGCCAAGGCACUUCGUGAAGGAACCAAAGGUUUUUUAUUUAUUAGUGCUCAUUUAGAUGGAGAAACAAAUUUUUAUAAAUCUUUUCCCCUUUAAGAAAGAAACCAAAUAGAAUUCUCUUUUUUUUUUUUUUCUUCUUUUUUUUGAGAGAGAAUUUGAUUGGGAGGCAUUGACUCUCUCCCUCAACAACACAUGAUGAGCCAAUCCAGCCAAGGACUAUAAUAUAAGCGAGUGAAACUUCCUCCAAUCACAAAACAUUGUAUUCUGUAUUAUGGGUCCCAAACCUUCACCUUGAUUCUCAUUGGUGCGUGUGGUACACAAACACAUGGUUGAGAGUGGAAUUUUCUUACAAAUUGGCUUGGGAAAAGAUAGAAGAAGCAAAAAAAAAAAAAAAAUGCAUAAUAUAGUAUAGUAUAGAGUUUUUUUAAAUAAAAGAGUGUCAGAGGUUAGGGUCAAGUGAACGUGCAAUAUUUGAAGCAUAGAUCUGGAUCCACUCAAAGCACCAAACUCAAAUUAAACAACACAAAAUCAGUACAAUAUACACAAUACAUCACAACACACCAACACUUCUCUCACUCACUGCCACUCUUACCGGUCUUUUGUUUUUAUACUUUCAAAGGAAAGAGAGAGGAGAGAGUGUGUGUCUGUGUGAGGUAGUGUUUAGAAAGAGAGAGAAUCUAGAGAGAGAGAGUGCUUAGGUAACUAGCUUUCAGCUUCUUCACUGCUCACUUAAUAGCCCUGACCCCAAGAAACAAAGCAGCAGUAGUGAAGCGAUUGAAUGGUUCUUCUCUGCUCCAACUGCUGCUGCUAGACUCUGCAAACCAGCAUAGGAAGAAGGCGGUGGUUUGGCUUUUGUAGUAAAGAUUGACACUUUGACUGCUAUUAUUUAUGUUUGAAGAGGGAAAGAGAGAGAAACAGCAACAAGAAAGUACCUUCUUUCAUGGCUGCUGUGGGUGCGAGGGCUACCACUUCCAUCACAACAAAUCCAUUGUGUGCUGUUAAGACCAGACUCCAGAUUGCAAAAAGAAGAGGCACUACAAGUUUGUAUAAUCAAAGCAAAUGAAUUUGGUGAAAGACUUAAGGAUGCUCCUCUGAUCGAACAAUCUCCAGCUCUCCCCAAAUCAUCAGCCGCAUCUCAUCAACCAAGAAGCUUAUAAGUUUUAUCUUGGAGUUCUUGGACUUUUUUGUGUACAAAGAACUAUAGAAGAAGAACCACAUUUUUUCAAGUCUUGAAGGAUAUUUUUAAACACUUUGAAACUUUGAUUAUAGUAUUAGAUUAAUUUCAGCGGUUGUUUUAUUCAAAUGACCACAUCUUUUUUUUUGUUAAUUUUAAGAUGGUGAUUAUAGACAAUGUUAUAUAUUUGAUAAUAUAUUUUUAUGUUAAUAUUAUGUUAGUUUCAAGACA